rnacentral:rRNA from 1 species
AGAGUUUGAUCAUGGCUCAGGAUAAACGUUGGCGGCGUGCCUUAGGCAUGCAAAUCAAGGGGGUCCGACGAUCCCGCAAGGGGCUGUCGGACAACCGGUGGACGGGUGAGUAAUGCGCGGGAAUGUACCCAAAAGUGGGAUAUAGCCCGGCGAAAGCCGGGGUAAUCUCCCAUGUGAACGCAAGUUUAAAGCCGCAAGGCGCUUUUGGAUCAGCCCGCGUCCUAUCAGCUAGUUGGUGGGGUAAUGGCCUACCAAGGCGACGACGGGUAGCUGGACUGAGAGGUCGGUCAGCCACAACGGGACUGCGACACGGCCCGUACAUCUACGGAUGGCAGCAACCGGGAAUAUUCGACAAUGGACGAAAGUCUGAUCGAGCGACGCCGCGUGGAGGAUGAAGGCCCUCGGGUUGUAAACUCCUUUUAUAGGGGAAGAUUAUGACGGUACCCUACGAAUAAGCACUUGCUAACUACGUGCCAGAAGCCUCGGUAAUGCGUAGAGUGCAAACGUUAUCCGGAUUUAUUGGGCGUAAAGAGUUGCGUAGGCUGAUCCGUGCAUUUUGUUUGAAAUGCCCUGACUUAAUUAGGGAUUUGGACAAAAUAUGGCGGAUCUUGAUGGUUGGAGAGGGUGCUGGAACAGAUGGUGUAGCAGUGAAAUGCGCUGAUAUCAUCUGGAACACCAAAGGCGUAGGCAGGCACCUAGACAACACAUGACGCUGAGGCACGAAAGCUGGGGGAGCGAAACAGAUUAGAGACCUGUGUAGUCCCAGCCGUAAACGAU